rnacentral:lncRNA from 1 species
UACAGAAUGAAAGACCAGUGGGACCCAUUCUACGUUCGCUGGCACCAUGUAAGAGAAAGACCAGGACCCAUUCUACGUUCUGGCACUUUGGAAUGUUAUGUUUAAGUGAAAGACCAGGACCCAUUCUACGUUCUGGCACUAUGGAAUUAUGUAGAGGGCUAAUGGUGACAAGUUCAUCCUUUAUGUGAUAUGUUUGUGAUGUGAUGCAUUU